CUAGAAUAUCAAGAAACUCGCUAUUGAUUUCAUAGCGGCUUGACACGUUUAUAUACUAAGUUUUGAAUGUCCUAGCAAGUAACAAACAAAAGAAUGUAUGAUUUAUGAGUUAUCGACAACAUGUAUAAUACACAAAUAAAGUUGCAGACGUCGCUUGACCGUUGUCCGAACUUUUAAGAUGCUCUUUAAACUUUACUAGACAUUUAUAUAAUUUGGUAACUGCUGCAGUCUCAUUGUCCAGACAAAUUGAAUAGUUUAUAAAAAUGCUUGUUUGACAUAUUUGAAAUAUUCAACGCUUGAAAAAUGUAUAGAACAUUUAAACAAUAAUUCUAUGUAAAAUAGUUUACAAAGUAAAACCCGCAUACAUUAACUAAUAAACCAUAUGAAAUAA
rnacentral:lncRNA from 1 species